rfam:Myotis davidii contig96774, whole genome shotgun sequence.
GGUGGUUCUCAGGUGACACACCCUGGGAACAUGCUCCCUCCUUUCUGGUUCCGGGUGUGUCACCUGAGAACCAUA